rnacentral:tRNA from 1 species
GGAGAGGUACCCAAGAGGCUGAAGGGGGGAGAUUGCUAAUCUCCUAGGGGUCUAAAAAGCCCGCGAGGGUUCGAAUCCCUCCCUCUCCGCCA